CGUGUGUUCAAGAUUUAUUUAACUCAUUAAGGAGGGAACCAGCCUAACAGGAAAGCUGGUUUGGAGGUACUUGAAGACCUGAGUAUUGAUACUACUUAAGUGCUGUAGAGGGAACACUGGAAAAAGAUUUCUUGUUAGAUACAAAACAAGUUAAUGUCCUUUAUGACGAUAAGAGCAGAACCUUUGGAAUUACUUUUCUCUAUCAAACAGAAGUCAUUUCAUCUCUGUUAGACAAAAAUCCACAAAUCAACAAGGAAUUUCACAGAGCCUGGGACUAACCAACAGUAAGUAAUAUGUCCAAAAAGAAUACAUUCCCAUAGAGCGAGAUGGUGGCCACUUUUUGUUUUUGUAAAUAAAGUUUUAUUUACAGCAUUUAUGCAGAUUCACAUAUUGUCUUUGGCUGCUUCUGGCUACAACGGUGUUGCUGAGUACCUGCGAUGGAGAGCAUAUGGACCACAAAGAUUCUCACUUUCUCCCACCCAUUCCCCAGACUGUUAUCAGAGCAAUCCUUCAAAAUCACACAACUCAUAUUGUUGAUUCUCUGCCUGAAAUCUUUCCAAGUCCCUGUAACUCACUAGUUAACUUGACCUUGUAUGAAUCUCUGAACCUUCCAACCCCCAGUCACCUUGACCUGCAAUGAGCUCUACCAGGAGAUGCGUGAAAGCUCCAUGGGCCUGAAAGGCUGUGAACAAGACCUCUAUCUGUGACCAGCAGGAUUCAUUUUUCCUCACAUCUCAGGGUACUGGGGAGACUUUGGGCAUUUGAGUUUGAGGGAACUGGGGAUGAAAAAAGAUUAAUACCAACCACCCCUGAAGCUUCUGGGGAGAAUUAAGGGGAAACUUGUUUAUAGAGCUUGGCACCUGGUAAAGAGCUCCAUAAAUAUGGGCUUACUCUCCUGCAGUCCGCUUACGUCAUACUGAUCUGAAAUGAGGAUUACGCUUCUGAGCAGGAGAAGAGGCAGAGAGGAGGAGAGGGAAGCUGAAGGUGGAAGAGAAACUAUAACAACGAGGACAACAUCUGCUUUCCAUUCCCCAGACUCAGGGGCCCCGGCCGCCCUCCUGGUGUAACAUUUCUCCAUUCCAUAUAAACAGAAAGGAUGAUUCUCGUAAUCUCAGCAACAAAAUACGCAGGCAUAAAAAUGGGUCAUAUUUUACUUUAAUGAGAGAAAUGAGGGCCUGUUUCCUUCACACAGAGAAAGCCUGGGUUGCUGUAAUUAACACCAAAUGGGCCUGAGGCCGUCUCUCAAAUGAGAAGAGGUUGUUGGAAUUGGAAGAAACCCGGGGCCUCAGGAGGUGCUAAGCAUUGCCAGCCCUCCACUCCCCCCAUCCCCAACCUCCUCCUCCACCCCCUCCAGCCAGCUGCCAGGUCCUGAAAAGCAAGGAGAUUAAUUUUCAUGAAGCACUUACUAGGUGCUUCAUAGGUAUGAACACACACAUACACAAACACACACACACUCACACAUGGAUGCAGUCAGGAAGGGUAUUUUCCAGGUCAGAAGACUAAGGCUCAGAAAGGUGAAGUAACUUGCUUAAGAUCUUCCAGCUUGGAGGUGAUGGGAUCCUUCACCACCUGGUAUUAACUACUGUCUUUCAAAUCUCACCUCUCCCAUAAUAACCCUCCCAUUGUUUAUAAUCCAAUCCCCUGGGACCACUUUCCACUUACACCUGUCGCCUGCCUGUUGGAGGGCUGGUGUCUCACACUGACCUCCCUCCCUUUCCUUCUUUGCUCUUGAAAUCUUGGUUCACCUUUCAAAAGUCAACUCGAAAUGGAGCACCGCCUGGAUGAGUGGCAUAGAGCAUGUAUAUGGACACUGGAAUCGUCCAGACCAUAUUCACACGCCAGUUCUGCCAUGUACCCCACCUCUUCGCUUUGAGUCCCAUUUGCCCAUUUGUUAAGUGAGGAUACAAACAGAGUAGAGAGGGAGUGAAUGAGUUAACACAUAUAAAAGGACUUGCACAGAGCUGGGCACCUAGUACUUGCCUUCUAUCCCUCUUGGUUGUGAACACGGGCAAUACUGUCAACCAUCGGGGAAGAAACUUAAAACAACAAAGGCAUUUCAAAGGUAUCCCCUUAUGAGGAAACUACAACUAUCACAAAUAACGGUUAAAUGUCCCAACGCACUCCCCUUGCCAGAGACACAUUCUCCCACCAUGCCUACCUGCUCAUCUUUGUCUUGGGGCUACUCCAAUGAUGACAGACUUGGCACAAACUCCCCAAGCUAGCCCUCAACUACUGACCCUAGACCUGCAGCAGACAAUUGUCAGCAUAAGAUAGGGUAUCUUUUUACUCUCCUAUAGGAAAGUAAACUUAAGAGGGACAAAUUUAAACUAUCAUUAUCCCUUUUGCAAGACUUCUUUAGGGGGAACAAGCUGACAUGCAAAUAGAAAUAAAGAAGAGGGGCUUGGGAAGAUAAUAAGGUGGGAGGGGCACUAGAAUUAUCAAGGUUCGAGGGGAAAUUCUUGGGCGAUCCUACAAAACAAUGACCUGAAUAUGUGCUCAGAAUACUUCGCUGUUUCGACUGCCUGGGAUAAAUCAAUCAUCAAAAUAAACCUGGCUGAUUGAAGUAGCCUAACAAGAAGCCAGGUAUGGCUGACACUUCAAAUACCAUGAAAGAAGCAUUAGCAUGAGGAAGUCACUUAUUGUAAAACCAAGGAUGGACCCCAAAUCCCACCUGAAAAGAGGAUUGACUUUCUAGAAGAAUCUUCAGUGAAGACCUCAAUUAUGAGGCCAUGUAACAAAAUCUGAUGAAUCUUCUAGGAACAGAGGAACCAUCCCUCCAACUACCUCUGUGUAGCUCUAGGGGAGGUCAGCUAUUCUCAGAAGUGGGUGCGUCAGAGGGGAGUGGCAAGGUGGGAGUAAGGAUACCCCAUUGCCACUAGGACAUUAGAACAAAGAGGUCUCCCUUCCUCACCCCAUCUUAACAAACCUGUCAUCAGCAGCCUGCUGGAAAGGAAACUUCUUGUCUUCUACUGCCUAUCAAUUUCCCCUGGCCCAAAAGACCCUGAUGUCUCGUGUGCAUACUCUCCAAAAUAAGUAUUUAUAGAGCAUAUAUUAUUAAAGGGAUCAAAAGCCAGUGAAGGAGGGAGACUAUCCCAACUAGAACAGGUGGCUUUUAAGAAGCCAAGAUACAGUUCAAAUUCUUAAUGAGAUGUUGUAAAAACACAUACAAAAAAUACCUUUUAGUACUGUACACACGAUUUCUGAAUUUUAAAAUUCAACAGAAAAAAAUUUUUAAACAAAAUGUUAACUUCUAAAACUAUAGCAUUUUGGAAAAUUCAAUAUAAGAUACAACCCACAAUACAAAAGAAAAACAGCAUAAAUUGAAAAUCUUAAAUGAAAAGGUAAGAGGCAUGAAAGACAAAAGGAGGAGCUAUAUUACGUAAGAAAAAGAGUUCCAGUGGGGGGGGUGCAAGAAAGAUAGGGAGGAGAUUUAAUAACGGGAGAUAGAAUUAAAGAAAAUUUCGCUGAGGUGAGUAAAGACAGGAAAUUUCAUAUGGGAGCUGUCUUGAGUAGGCGUAAUUUUAAAUGACAUGCACCUAGGCGUACCCUAGCAAAAUUACUGCUCCAAAAAGAGAAAAACAUUUAUAAGCAUCUUGUGGAAGCCAUAAAGAUGUGCCUCUCAGAUCUCCAACUUCAGGGAACCCAAUUAACUGAUGGUCCCAUCUGCAGCCCUUCUGAACCCACCACCAAGUUCAUGCUGAGGCUAUGCUUCCGACGGACAGCUGCCAGCCACUGACAAAGCCCGCGGGGGUCCUAGGGAAGGCCCACUCCUGAAAGAUGUAGGAUGCCUCCCAUGGACAACCUCAGCUCAAAGCUUCCCCUCAGGGCUGGCCAAACCUUUCUUAGAGCUCUGCUGCUGUCAGAAACAACUCCUACUUUAAUAUUCCUUCUUUUCCACUCUGCUUUCACAGCUUUCCUGAGACCGCCUUUGUGGUCAGAGUUUCUCCUGGCCUUUAACUCCUCCUGUCCCAAUAGAUCUUACUUACCUAAUUCUAUCUUUGUGUCAUCUUAGCAGACUUAACCUAGCACAGACAUAUAGAUAGAUCAGUGGGUAGACAGUUAAAUGGUAAAUGGUGGGUAGAUAAAUAGACACACGGAUGAAUGGAUAGAUUGCAUGAUAAACUGGCAAACCUAAAAAUCUGACUUUCAAUUUGCAACACUGGCCAUAGAAGAGAGUGAAUCAUAGAUCAUUGAGAGGAAAAAGUGCAAUUCAAGCAUUCUAUAUUCUACCAACAUAGAAUUUUAUAAAUUUUAGAAAGGAAGGCUGAGUUAGAUACCGGUUGUGCUCACAAAUACUUCCAGGUCUCUGCAUACCUCUCCUCCAUUUGCCAUUUGGUAUGGUGACAUACUUUGGCCAAAUUAAAUGCUUCUGGGCAGAAGCAUUUAAUGAAACCUUCCAGCACUUUCUCCCUUGCUGCUGUGAUCUGGGCCGUUUCUAUUGACAUAGAUGUGAAACAUUUAGCCUUCGCAUGGUAGAUAAGCUCCCAGGGAAGUCCCCUGGGGCCAGCAGAAACCUUUGCAUGAGCAAAAAAAGGAGAUUUAGGGGAGUUCCCACUGUGGCACAACCGGAUGGGCACACCUCUGCAGCAGCCAGGACGCAGGUUCAAUCCCUGCCCCAGCACAGUAGGUUAAAGGAUUCAGUAUUGUCGCAGCUGUGGUGUAUGACACAGCUGUGACACGGAUCUGAUCCUUGACCUGGGAAUUCCAUACGUCUUGAGGCAGCCAAAGAAAAAAAGGAAACUUAAGGUUUUUUAAGUCUUUGAGAUUGGCUGGGGAUGGGGGUGGGGGGUUAAUUCCUGCAGCAAAAACUAGUCUACUCUACCAGUGCAAAGGCCAAAAAAAAAAAAGUAAGCUCCAUGAAGACAAGGCCCUUGACUAUUCUCUGCCAUACCUGCUUUGCCCAGAAACAGAACAUGAACUACUACCAAAUAUAUUCUUCUUAUUGUUGCUGUUGUUAUUGAAAGACAUUUUCAAAUAUUAAAGAAGCCAAAGAGUUAUGUGCCUAAAAAAAGGAAGGAAAAAAAAGAGUAUGCCCCUAGCUGAGGAAAUCACUUGAGAAGGACUCUAACCAAAUGAAAAUUAAAUUAAAACAAAAGUCUCAAGGUAGGGAAGAUGACAAGUACAAGAAAGAGUGAAGAGCAAUGAAUCUCAUAGUAGUUUAUGUUAAAUUAAAAAAAAAGACGAAUGCUUGACUGGGAAUUGCAAUAUGAGUUAAGUGAGGAUUAUUGAAACAGAAGAGGCAUAUUGUAAGAAAAUAUGGGAUAAUAGAAUGAAGUGCUGAAUUUACUUAGCAAAACCCAAGAGGUGGGGUUUGGGUGUAUGGGGGGAUAGGUUUCACAAGGGAGUAGGAAAAUAAAGAAGUUAAAACAUUUAAAGGUUUCAUCACAGUGGAGAGCAGAGAGCCAAGUAAAACAUUGAGGGGGGGAAAGAAUUAGGAAGAGUUAUUGAAUUUUUACAUAGCAAAGAGUAAUAUUUAACUGUAAAGAUGGUUAACAAUUACUAUGCUUAAGAUACCUAUUAUCUGAUCAUUUAUUCAACACAUAGUUAUUGAGCAUCUAGUAUAUACCAGAUAUUUUUCUAGGUGCUGUGAUAUAUUAGUAUAUAGAGAUC
rnacentral:lncRNA from 1 species